rnacentral:pre_miRNA from 1 species
GAUUUCAGCUGGAAAAGUCAUCAACAACAAAGUUGUAUAACUCAUCAAGAUAUAUAUAACUUUUAUUUUAGUCAUUUCUUCAUCCGACAAAGUUAUUUAUAAGAUUGUUCACAAAAUGUACAUCUCUCUUAUAGUUUUAAAAACUAUAUAAGACAUAUGUACAUUCUGUGAACAAUUUUACAAAUCACUUUGUUGGAUGAAGAAAUGGCCAAAAUAAAAGUUAUAGAUCUUGAUGAUUUAUACAACUUUGUUAUUGAUGACUUUUUCAGUUGAAAUA